rnacentral:misc_RNA from 1 species
GUGAAUCAUCAAAUUUUUGAACGCAAAUUGCACUCUCUGGUAUUCCGGGGAGUAUGCCUGUUUGAGGGUCGGUAUAAAUAAAAUUCGGGGUGGGUGCUGCUUUUCGUGGCGACGCAGCGGGAGUGGGUCGUCUUGCCUUCGGUUAAGUGACGUCAAAGUUUCCAUGAUUUUUUCGAUCGUAUUUGAUUGAUUUGACGUACGUUUC